UUGUAAGUGUUUGACAGCUCCUCCUUCACACUCUCUCUCUCUCUCCUGCCACCUUGUGAUGAAGGUACCCGCUUCCCCUGCCACUGUGAUUGUUAAGUUUCCUGAGGCCUCCCAAGCCAUGCAGAACUAUUACUUCUUUAAGCUUCAUUCAUCUCAUCUAUUAAAUGGGUCAAGAAAGACCUAUCUUGGAGUAUGGCUCAUACAAUGACAAAGGUACUAGUUGCUCAAUACGGAGAGGGACUGGAUCUCUGACGAUAGCAUGGAGAAUGACUUGGAGAGAAGACAAUAAAGUCAAGUUAGAAGAUACUGUGAGGUUCUAAGUAAACUCUGUUAGCAGCAAUAACAAUAACAUGUAAGCAAUGGAUAUGAGAAGCUGGAAAGACACAAAGAACAAAGCGGACUUUCUUGCCAAUAUGAAACAUUUCUAAAAUCACAAAAGAAAGCAUCAGAAGAUAUUGAAUAGUUCAUUUACUUUAACAAAAGUACAAAAUCAUCCUUGUUUUUAUUCCUGGGUCCAGUCUGUCGUUUGAUGCCAUUAUCUUGUCCAAUAUUUUCAUACUUAGAGCUGCCCCAGGCAAAAUCGACCUUGUUUGCUAAUGGAAGUCAUUAAACAUUUUGAAUCAUGGAGUGAUGUGGUUGUACCUGUUCUUGGAGGACAUGUGUCAUGACAUGUCAAGGGCAGAUAGCCAAAAAAGGCAGCACUGCACCAUGAGUCUUACAUGACAGCCAUGAUGGUGAGAAUAUAAAGGGUGUAAUUGGGUACAUAAUCCAAAGGUGGUUUGGUAAAUGAUUGAAUAUAUCAUAUAAAUAUUUAAGAAAAAAAAUUGAUUCCAGGAGUGUGCUGAGGCUGGUCUACGUGAGCUCCCAAGGUCAAAUUUUGUGCAUCUCUCCCCAGAUUCCUGUCCAGUGAUAUCAAAUUGUUUCUUAAAUUAGCUAUAGUGUCAAUAAGCACAACACUAAAAUGUCCAACACUGCAAAGUAGAACUUUUCUGGGGAGCGGGAGGAGUGCAGUUUUUAAAAAAUUUACCAGCACAGCACUAAAUGAUUCUUAUAGGUAAAAUCUAAACAGCUAGGAAGAUGGUAGUUCUGUGAACUGAGAAAGGUACGUUGAGAGAAAUAAAAUUUGAAUUGAGAAAGGUAAAUGAGGCCGGGUGUGGUGGUUCAAGCCUGUAAUCCCAGCACUUUAGGAGGCCGAGGCGGGUGGAUCACCUGAGGUCAGGAGUUCGAGACUAGCCUGACCAACAUGAUGAAGCCCUUGUCUCUACUAAAAAUACAACAAAUUAGCCAGGCAUGGUGGCGGGCACCUGUAAUCCCAGCUACUCGGGAGGCUGAGGCAGGAGAAUUGCUUGAACCUGGGAGGCGGAGGUUGCAGUGAGCCAAGAUGGCACUACUGCACUCUACCCUGGGCAAUAAGAGUGAAAGUUCAUCUCAGAAAAAAAAAAAAAGAAAAAGAGAAAGCUAAAUGAGGUAAAAGAAGGAUGGCCUUCUGGUGGAGAUAGAGUAAAACAAGAUGUUUGCUUGAGGGCUUCCUGGGUUUAAAGUUUCAGUGUUUUGCACUGUAUUUGGUCCUUGGUUCUGUAUUCCACUGAUAUUUGUUGAAUGACUAACUUGUGUUUUCCCAAUAAGGAAAUCUAGUAGAAGGCUGGAAAUUGACAUUGGAAGUUAAGACUACACAUGCAACUAGACACACACACACACACACACACACACACACAAUGGACUAUAGAACCAUCUAUAUGGGAUAGUUAUUGAAGUCCUAGUAAGAAAGGAUACUACUAAGAGAACCUGUGUGGUGUCAUAAAUAUCAAAAUAAAGAACAGGAUUUUGAGCAAUUUAUGAGUAAAGGCAUUUGAGAAGAUAAAAUGGCACAGUCAGAAAGCUGGGGGCCAGUGUUUGAGAAUGGGAAGGUGGGAGCUGGUAUAAAAACACGUCGGUCAGGCCGGGCAUGAUGGCUCACGCCUGUAAUCCCAGCACUUUGGGAGACCGAGGCGGGCAGAUCACGAGGUCAGGAGAUCGAGACCAUCCUGGCUAACACGGUGAAACCCUGUCUCUACUAAAAAUACCAAAAAAUUAGCCAGCUGUGGUGGUGGGCACUUGUGGUCCCAGAUACUCGGGAGGCUGAGGCAGGAGAAUGGCAUGAACCUGGGAGGCAGAGCUUGCAGUGAGCCGAGAUCGUGCCACUGCACUCUGGCCUGGGCAACAGAGCGAGACUCAGUCUCAAAAAAAAAAAAAAAAAAAAAAGGCCGAGCGCGGUGGCUCACGCCUGUAAUCCCAGCACUUUGGGAGGCCGAGGCGGGUGGAUCACGAGGUCAGGAGAUCGAGACCAUCCUGGCUAGAAUGGUGAAACCCCAUCUCUACUAAAAGUACAAAAAAUUAGGUGGGCGUGGUGGCGGGUGCCUGUAGUCCCAGCUACUCGGGAGGCUGAGGCGGAGCUUGCAGUGAGUCAAGAUCGCGCCACUGCACUCCAGCCUGGGCGACAGAGCGAGACUCUCUGUCAAAAACAACAACAACAACAAAAAAACAUGUCCGUCAGGCAAGUAUGAAACCUGAAAAUCUGUCAAAAUCUGGUUAGUAAUCUGGGAGAUGCAAUGACAGUCAGGAGGUUGGGGCAGAAUUUACGUUUCAAGUUUCUCACAAUGUAGUCAUUAUUAUAAGAAUCACCUGGAGGACUUGUUAACAACACAUGCUCUGAGGCUCCCUGAUCGGAGAUACUGAUCAAGUAGCUGGGCUCACGACGGAAGUCUGAAGCCAGUGAUUUCAAAAACACUGUGAAAGGUAUUGAGGAAUAAACACACAAGAUGGGAUAUGCAAGGGCAAGAUUAAGAGCAUAAGUUCUUUUUCUUUCAUUGUAACACAGACUGGAGAAGAGAAAAGCAUUAAAAUUUUGAUAGGAAGUGGGAUAACGAAGUAUAUUUUCAGGUUAAGAGUGAAUUGAGUAUGUUGAUAAAAAGAUGUUAAAAAUCAGGGGGAAAAGCAUUAUGCGCAAGAAAAAGAGAAAAAAUACGUAGAGUGGGACCAUGAAGAAGGGAGAAAUGAUUACUUACUUUUAGAGAUGGUCAGGAGAGAAAAGGUGUUGGCAUUUAAAAUAGGCAAAUUUGUUUAAGGGAACACAUGUCAAUUGAUGUCACUUAAAUUGAUAAAAGCAAUACUUAUUUAAUAUUUAUUUUUUAAAACAAAA
rnacentral:lncRNA from 1 species